AAAUGCCAUUACAUUAAAAAUAAUCCAAAAGGUAAGAAAAUUUUAUUCUGGUUUCUGCAAAAGCGAAAAGCUGGUAACUCAACUCUAAUCUGAUCACAAAAUCGUCAAAUAAAACUAAGGGGCGAUCAAUGAAAAUGGCACCGAAUAGCACUGUAAUAUCAUUUGGUUUAUUUAGCUAUAACUAACUAUUAUUUUGUUUGAUUAGUUUUGAUUAACUAUCAAUGAUAGAUUAAGAUUCAAAUCAAGCUGAAUCUCAGUCCCAUUCAGUGAACGCUCGAAGUAAGUCUCAUCACCAGUUUUCAAUUUUCGCCAGUUUAUAAGCUCAGCUCGUAGCUCGACUCAAUCGUCGAAUUAAUCUAUUUCAUUUUCCAUUAAAAAUCCAAAAGUCAGAUCGACUAAACUAAAUAAGUUAUGAAUACUUGGUAAAUUUUGUCACGAUUGUCAAAGAUGAUUGAUGACGGUUUUCUUCGACAAUUAAUCUCGGAAAUUAACAUAAUCAUUGACAAGUAUUUUCCCUUAAAAUUAUUCCCCAAUUAUGAGCAAGUUUUUUCCCUUCUUGAUUGUAAAGGUUAUUUCCAAAACAAAAUUGAACUUUGUCAUUAUCGUUUGAUUAUUUGUAAAAAUAAAUGAUUCUGAGAAAAAUGAACAAUCAUCAAAUGGCUCAUGUUUUGAAAUUACAAGAUAAAUUGUAAUGGAACAAUCGAAAUCAUUUACAGUAAAGGCUGAGAUAAUGGGACGCUGAGAUAAUGAGACUCAAUUAAUAUACGAUCCCUUAGAAGUAACCAAUUUCUUUGUUUACAUUUUUUCUUCAAUGGAAAUACAAAAUGCCGAGAAGAAAUUUAUUGAAUCGUGAAAAAUUAAAGUUAAUUUCAAAUUUAGAAAAUAAUGAUUUAAAUAAUUUCGAUGCUCAGCAUCAGUUCCAUGUGAGUCGGUCAACAAUUUAUCGGUGUUUGUCAUCUAAAGAUGAUAUUGUUUAUGCAGUGGAAAAUGGAAUGGGCAAAAGAGCCAGGGUUGAAAAAGAUAAACAUACUGUUCAUGAUAAUUUUGUCAAGGAUUUUAUCUUAGAGUGUCAAACAAAAGGAAUUGGAUUGAAAGCUAGUUUCAUCAAAAAUUAUGCUAGAAUCAAAGCAAUUGAGAUUGGUAGACAUGAAUUAAAUUGUAGUAAAGGAUGGUUUGAUUCCUUUAGACAGAGGACAAACUUAAAGUUUGGAAAAAUUUCGGGUGAAGCAAAAGGAGCAAACAUGGAAAAGGUUCAUGAAUGGAAAACAGAAAUAAUACCAAGAAUUAUUAUUGACUGGAGAAGUGAAUUUAUCUACAAUUGUGAUGAGACUGCUUUGUUUUGGAGACAAACACCAGUCAAAACUUAUUUCAUUAGUAAAUUUGAUCAUUCCGGAGACAAACUAUUCAGAGAAAGGAUUACAGUAUUAUUCUGUGUCAACCGAGCUGGUGAUAAAGAAAAGCCUUUAGUUAUUGGUACAGCCAAAAAACCUAGAUGUUCAUUUGUUGGUUGGCUAGAUAAUUUUGAUAUUAAUUAUUGUUCUCAGUCAAAUGCUUGGAUGGACUUGAAGACAUUUGACAAUUGGCUUUCUAAUUGGAACCAAAGAUUAGAAGAAGAAGGAAAAAAAAUUUUACUAAUUUUAGACAAUUUUGCUGGACAUAAUGUAAAUACUGAAAAGUACAAUAUGAUUUCGUUUAAAUUUCUUCCUCCUCAAACUACAAGUCAUAUUCAGCCAUUAGAUGCAGGAAUUAUUCAUUCAUUUAAAUCAAAAUAUCUCACUCUUUUUGUCAAAUCUCUAAUUUCUAAUGCUGAUUCUGGUCAUUUAAAUGAAAAAGUCAAAAAAAUUAAUUUAUUUAAUGCUUUAAAUUGGGUAGAUUUAGCUUGGAAAGAUGUAACUUCUCAAACAAUUUACAAUUGCUGGUCACAUACUGGAUUCAGUUACUCUCAUGAAGCUGAAUCAAAUCAAACAAAUGAUGAUCUCUCAAGUGCCCUUACCAAUCUUUCUAUUAAUUGUUGUUCAGUAAAUGAUUUCAUUAACCAAGUUACUAUGGAAGUAACAAAUUAUUAUGAUUUUGAUAUUAAUAAAAUUUAAUAACAUUGAUUUCGCUGGCAAAAUAAGCUAUUUUCACUCUUGCCCUUUAAAUAAGCUAUUUCAAGAGAGUCUCAUUAUCUCAGCCUUUACUGUACCAGACUUCACACAUUCAUCUGUUAAACAAUGGCAAUGAGAGCAAGAACCAAAAACUGUGGAAGUACACCGAAACAUUUAAUCAAAAAAAUCGAAUCAAUGGAAAUAAUUAAUAAAAUAUAAGCUUUAAAUUAUAACUUAUAUGUGAAAAUGUAUUUGACUUCGAUUAAUUGAUUUUAAUUCUCUGAUUAAUUUCCAAGAAAAAAAUUCAGUUUCAAAAAAGGUUGAAAUGGAUGAUCUCAAAUUUAUGUGACUUCAUAACACAAUGAUAUAAUAAUCAGUGAUAACCAUGAAAUGUAAACACAACGAAUGGUUAAUCUCCCGAGGAGGAGAGUCUAGAUGAUUAUUGAUAAAUUGUGAUUAUUUAAAUGAGAGACAAGUCAUUAAUUGUAUUGCUUUGGAAUUAGUUGAAGCAUCAGUAAAAACAUCGACUCAAAAUGAAUUCAAAAAUCCUGUUAGCUUUUGUUUUGGCUGUCAACAUUUGUGUCAUCAUUGAUGCUGCUCAAGUGUACAGCUAUGAAGUGAUUGUCAAAACGGCCGAUAAAAAAUUCAGCAGUCAUGAUGGUAAAAUCAAAAUUUCAGUUCUCAGCUCUGAUAGCGUAAAGACUUCACAAGAAGCGUUUGUAUUGACUCCAACUGAUGUUAAAAUUAAACAGGACAAGACUUAUACUGCGACAAUUUCAUCGGUCGCUCCAUUAAACAACAUUACAUGUGUUUACCUUCGAUGGAGUUUGGCCUCACCAUACAAUCCAGUCUACGCAGUUAAGAAACCAGUUAUCUACUUUGAUCCCAUUAUUGUUAGCAACUCUGUUGUUGAUCCAAACACACAGAUUUCUGUAUCUGCAAGUCGUAAGUUUUGUCCAGCAACUAUUCCAAUUGCAAUCAAACAUGCGGAUGGAGCUUCUUUCGAUGCUUGUACCUGAACAAGGCCAUGAAAGUUUGAAAAGAAAUCUCAGAUAACUUUGUAACUAUUUCCUAGCAAUAAAAUUGUAUUGGCCUAAAAUGUAAA